rnacentral:rRNA from 1 species
CCUACGGGUGGCAGCAGUAGGGAAUUUUCGGCAAUGGGGGGAACCCUGACCGAGCAACGCCGCGUGAACGAAGAAGUUAUUCGUAAUGUAAAGUUCUUUUAACAGGGAAGAAAGAGAAAUUUGACGGUAACCAAUGAAUAAGCUCCGGCUAACUACGUGCCAGCAGCCGCGGUAAUACGUAGGGAGCGAGCGUUAUCCGGAAUUAUUGGGCGUAAAGGUUGCGCAGGGGGAGGUGCAAGUCAGUGGUAAAAUUGCGGGGCUAAACCCCAUACUGCCGUUGAAACUGCAUACCUUGAGUGCGCGAGAGGUAAGCGGAAUGCGAGGUGUAGCGGUGAAAUGCGUAGAUAUAACGAAGAACCCCGAUUGCGAAGGCAGCUUACUAAACUGUGACUGACAUUGAUGCUCGAAAGUGUGGGUAUCAAACAGGAUUAGAUACCCUUGUAGUC